UACAGAGGGUGCAAGCGUUAAUCGGAAUUACUGGGCGUAAAGCGUGCGUAGACGGUUAUGUAAGUCGGGUGUGAAAGCCCCGGGCUCAACCUGGGAAUUGCAUUCGAGACUGCAUAGCUAGGGUGCGGAAGAGGGAAGCGGAAUUUCCGGCGUAGCGGUGAAAUGCGUAGAUAUCGGAAGGAACACCAGUGGCGAAAGCGGCUUCCUGGUCCAGCACCGACGUUCAGGCACGAAAGCGUGGGGAGCAAACAGG
rnacentral:rRNA from 1 species